rnacentral:rRNA from 1 species
GAUUAAGUUAUUAAGGGCGCACGGUGGAUGCCUUGGCACUAGAAGCCGAUGAAGGACGUUACUAACGACGAUAUGCUUUGGGGAGCUGUAAGUAAGCUUUGAUCCAGAGAUUUCCGAAUGGGGAAACCCAGCAUGAGUUAUGUCAUGUUAUCGAUAUGUGAAUACAUAGCAUAUCAGAAGGCACACCCGGAGAACUGAAACAUCUUAGUACCCGGAGGAAGAGAAAGAAAAUUCGAUUCCCUUAGUAGCGGCGAGCGAAACGGGAAGAGCCCAAACCAACAAGCUUGCUUGUUGGGGUUGUAGGACACUCUAUACGGAGUUACAAAGGACGACAUUAGACGAAUCAUCUGGAAAGAUGAAUCAAAGAAGGUAAUAAUCCUGUAGUCGAAAAUGUUGUCUCUCUUGAGUGGAUCCUGAGUACGACGGAGCACGUGAAAUUCCGUCGGAAUCUGGGAGGACCAUCUCCUAAGGCUAAAUACUCUCUAGUGACCGAUAGUGAACCAGUACCGUGAGGGAAAGGUGAAAAGCACCCCGGAAGGGGAGUGAAAUAGAACCUGAAACCGUGUGCUUACAAGUAGUCAGAGCCCGUUAAUGGGUGAUGGCGUGCCUUUUGUAGAAUGAACCGGCGAGUUACGAUUUGAUGCAAGGUUAAGCAGUAAAUGUGGAGCCGUAGCGAAAGCGAGUCUGAAUAGGGCGUUUAGUAUUUGGUCGUAGACCCGAAACCAGGUGAUCUACCCUUGGUCAGGUUGAAGUUCAGGUAACACUGAAUGGAGGACCGAACCGACUUACGUUGAAAAGUGAGCGGAUGAACUGAGGGUAGCGGAGAAAUUCCAAUCGAACCUGGAGAUAGCUGGUUCUCUCCGAAAUAGCUUUAGGGCUAGCCUCAAGUGAUGAUUAUUGGAGGUAGAGCACUGUUUGGACGAGGGGCCCCUCUCGGGUUACCGAAUUCAGACAAACUCCGAAUGCCAAUUAAUUUAACUUGGGAGUCAGAACAUGGGUGAUAAGGUCCGUGUUCGAAAGGGAAACAGCCCAGACCACCAGCUAAGGUCCCAAAAUAUAUGUUAAGUGGAAAAGGAUGUGGCGUUGCCCAGACAACUAGGAUGUUGGCUUAGAAGCAGCCAUCAUUUAAAGAGUGCGUAAUAGCUCACUAGUCGAGUGACACUGCGCCGAAAAUGUACCGGGGCUAAACAUAUUACCGAAGCUGUGGAUUGUCCUUUGGACAAUGGUAGGAGAGCGUUCUAAGGGCGUUGAAGCAUGAUCGUAAGGACAUGUGGAGCGCUUAGAAGUGAGAAUGCCGGUGUGAGUAGCGAAAGACGGGUGAGAAUCCCGUCCACCGAUUGACUAAGGUUUCCAGAGGAAGGCUCGUCCGCUCUGGGUUAGUCGGGUCCUAAGCUGAGGCCGACAGGCGUAGGCGAUGGAUAACAGGUUGAUAUUCCUGUACCACCUAUAAUCGUUUUAAUCGAUGGGGGGACGCAGUAGGAUAGGCGAAGCGUGCGAUUGGAUUGCACGUCUAAGCAGUAAGGCUGAGUAUUAGGCAAAUCCGGUACUCGUUAAGGCUGAGCUGUGAUGGGGAGAAGACAUUGUGUCUUCGAGUCGUUGAUUUCACACUGCCGAGAAAAGCCUCUAGAUAGAAAAUAGGUGCCCGUACCGCAAACCGACACAGGUAGUCAAGAUGAGAAUUCUAAGGUGAGCGAGCGAACUCUCGUUAAGGAACUCGGCAAAAUGACCCCGUAACUUCGGGAGAAGGGGUGCUCUUUAGGGUUAACGCCCAGAAGAGCCGCAGUGAAUAGGCCCAAGCGACUGUUUAUCAAAAACACAGGUCUCUGCUAAACCGUAAGGUGAUGUAUAGGGGCUGACGCCUGCCCGGUGCUGGAAGGUUAAGAGGAGUGGUCAGCUUCUGCGAAGCUACGAAUCGAAGCCCCAGUAAACGGCGGCCGUAACUAUAACGGUCCUAAGGUAGCGAAAUUCCUUGUCGGGUAAGUUCCGACCCGCACGAAAGGCGUAACGAUUUGGGCACUGUCUCAACGAGAGACUCGGUGAAAUCAUAGUACCUGUGAAGAUGCAGGUUACCCGCGACAGGACGGAAAGACCCCGUGGAGCUUUACUGUAGCCUGAUAUUGAAAUUCGGCACAGCUUGUACAGGAUAGGUAGGAGCCUUUGAAACGUGAGCGCUAGCUUACGUGGAGGCGCUGGUGGGAUACUACCCUAGCUGUGUUGGCUUUCUAACCCGCACCACUUAUCGUGGUGGGAGACAGUGUCAGGCGGGCAGUUUGACUGGGGCGGUCGCCUCCUAAAAGGUAACGGAGGCGCUCAAAGGUUCCCUCAGAAUGGUUGGAAAUCAUUCAUAGAGUGUAAAGGCAUAAGGGAGCUUGACUGCGAGACCUACAAGUCGAGCAGGGUCGAAAGACGGACUUAGUGAUCCGGUGGUUCCGCAUGGAAGGGCCAUCGCUCAACGGAUAAAAGCUACCCCGGGGAUAACAGGCUUAUCUCCCCCAAGAGUUCACAUCGACGGGGAGGUUUGGCACCUCGAUGUCGGCUCAUCGCAUCCUGGGGCUGUAGUCGGUCCCAAGGGUUGGGCUGUUCGCCCAUUAAAGCGGUACGCGAGCUGGGUUCAGAACGUCGUGAGACAGUUCGGUCCCUAUCCGUCGUGGGCGUAGGAAAUUUGAGAGGAGCUGUCCUUAGUACGAGAGGACCGGGAUGGACAUACCUCUGGUGUACCAGUUGUCGUGCCAACGGCAUAGCUGGGUAGCUAUGUGUGGACGGGAUAAGUGCUGAAAGCAUCUAAGCAUGAAGCCCCCCUCAAGAUGAGAUUUCCCAACUUCGGUUAUAAGAUCCCUCAAAGAUGAUGAGGUUAAUAGGUUCGAGGUGGAAGCAUGGUGACAUGUGGAGCUGACGAAUACUAAUCGAUCGAAGACUUAAUCAA